GCUGGGCCGAUCUGGGUGUGCUCGUUAGUCAUAUAUCCGCACGGCUAUGAGUAUGACUAGAGACACAUUCAGCUUGGCUUCGAU
rnacentral:pre_miRNA from 1 species